rnacentral:rRNA from 1 species
UACGGGAGGCAGCAGUGGGGAAUAUUGCACAAUGGGCGCAGGCCUGAUGCAGCCAUGCCGCGUGUAUGAAGAAGGCCUUCGGGUUGUAAAGUACUUUCAGUCGUGAGGAAGGUGUUAAGGUUAAUAACCUUAGCAAUUGACGUUAGCGACAGAAGAAGCACCGGCUAACUCCGUGCCAGCAGCCGCGGUAAUACGGAGGGUGCGAGCGUUAAUCGGAAUUACUGGGCGUAAAGGGCACGCAGGCGGUUAAUUAAGUUGGAUGUGAAAUCCCCGGGCUUAACCUGGGAAUGGCAUUCAAGACUGGUUAGCUAGAGUCUUGUAGAGGGGGUAGAAUUCCGAUGUGUAGCGGUGAAAUGCGUAGAGAUGUGGAGGAAUACCGGUGGCGAAGGCGGCCCCUGGACAAGACUGACGCUCAUGUGCGAAAGCGUGGGGAGCAAACAGGAUUAGAUACC